AACGAACGCUGGCGGCAUGCCUAACACAUGCAAGUCGAACGAGACCUUCGUGUCUAGUUGCGCACGCGUGCGUAACGCGUGGGAACCUUCCCUUAGGUUCGGAAUAACUCCCUUAAGGGGGUGCUAAUACCGGAUAACUUCUGCGGACCAAAGAUUCGUCCUCCUGGGGUGGGCCCGGGUUGUUUUAGCUGGUUGGUAGGGUAAAAGCCGACCAAGGCGACGAUCCAUAGCUGGUAUGAGAGGAUGAUCAGCCACGCUGGGACUGAGCCACGGCCCAGAGUCUUAGGCAAGGGAGCAGUGGGGAAUACAGGCAAAUGGGCGAAAGCCUGAUCCCGCACUGCCGGGUGAGUGAUGAAGUUGUUAGGGUUGUACAGCUGUUUUACACGGGAUGAUAAUGACAGUACCGGGAGAAUAAGCUCCGGCUAACUCCGUG
rnacentral:rRNA from 1 species